rnacentral:rRNA from 1 species
AGGGUUCGAUUCUGGCUCAGGAUGAACGCUGGCGGCGUGACCUAACACAUCAAGUCGAACGAACUGUAGAAGUACAGUGAGUGGCGGACGGGUGAGUAACGCGUAAGCAAUCUGCCUUUGUGUGUGGAAUAACAACCGGAAACAGUUGCUAAUACCGCAUAACGCAUAGGAGUCGCAUGGCUCUUAUGCCAAAGAUUUAUCGCACGAAGAUGAGCUUGCGUCCGAUUAGAUAGUUGGCGGGGUAACGGCCCACCAAGUCUACGAUCGGUAGCCGGACUGAGAGGUUGAACGGCCGCAUUGGAACUGAGAUACGGUCCAGACUCCUACGGGAGGCAGCAGGUGGGGAAUAUUGGGCAAUGGACGAAAGUCUGACCCAGCGACGCCGCGUGAGGGAAGAAGGUCUUCGGAUUGUAAACCUUAGUCAACAGGGACGAAGCAAGUGACGGUACCUGUGGAGGAAGCCACGGCUAACUACGUGCCAGCCGCUGC